UACGUAGGGGGCAAGCGUUGUCCGGAUUUAUUGGGCGUAAAGAGCGUGUAGGCGGCCUGGAAGGUCAGCUGUGAAAACUCGAGGCUCAACCUCGAGACGUCGGUUGAAACCACCUGGCUAGAGUCCGGAAGAGGAGUGUGGAAUUCCCGGUGUAGCGGUGGAAUGCGCAGAUAUCGGGAGGAAUACCUGUGGCGAAAGCGGCUCACUGGACCACAACUGACGCUGAGGCGCGAAAGCUAGGGGAGCAAACAGG
rnacentral:rRNA from 1 species